UAAAGGCAUGGUCCUGACCUUAUUAUUAGCUCUAACCCAACUUACACAUGCAAGUCUCCGCAACCCCGUGAGUAUGCCCUUAAUCCCCUGCCCGGGGACGAGGAGCGGGCAUCAGGCACAAAUUUUUAGCCCAAGACGCCUGGCCAAGCCACACCCCCAAGGGAAUUCAGCAGUGAUAAAUAUUAAGCCAUAAGUGAAAACUUGACUCAGUCAGGGUUAAGAGGGCCGGUAAAACUCGUGCCAGCCACCGCGGUUAAACGAGAGGCCCUAGUUAAUAAUACACGGCGUAAAGGGUGGUUAAGGAAAACAUCACAAUAAAGCCGAAUGGCCCUUUGGCUGUCAUACGCUUCUAGGUGUCCGAAGCCCAAUAUACGAAAGUAGCUUUAAUAAAGUCCACCUGACCCCACGAAAGCUGAGAAACAAACUGGGAUUAGAUACCCCACUAUGCUCAGCCAUAAACCUAGACGUCCAACUACAAUUAGCCGUCCGCCCGGGCACUACGAGCAUUAGCUUGAAACCUAAAGGACCUGACGGUGCCUUAGACCCCCCUAGAGGAGCCUGUUCUAGAACCGAUAACCCCCGUUAAACCUCACCACUUCUAGCCACCCCAGCCUAUAUACCGCCGUCGUCAGCUUACCCUGUGAAGGCAAUAAAAGUAAGCAAAAUGGGCACAACCCAGAACGUCAGGUCGAGGUGUAGCGUACGAAGCGGGAAGAAAUGGGCUACAUUUUCUACUGACAGAACACUACGGACAUGCAACAUGAAAUAGUGCUUGAAGGAGGAUUUAGUAGUAAAAAGGAAGCAGAGUGUCCUUUUGAACCCGGCUCUGAGGCGCGUACACACCGCCCGUCACUCUCCCCUGUCAAAAUGCAAUAGAGUUACCUAACACCAAAGCGCUGACAAGGGGAGGCAAGUCGUAACAUGGUAAGUGUACCGGAAGGUGCACUUGGAUUAAAUU
rnacentral:ncRNA from 1 species